rnacentral:rRNA from 1 species
AGUGAACGCUGGCGGUAGGCCUAACACAUGCAAGUCGAACGGCAGCACAGAGGAGCUUGCUCCUUGGGUGGCGAGUGGCGGACGGGUGAGGAAUACAUCGGAAUCUACUCUGUCGUGGGGGAUAACGUAGGGAAACUUACGCUAAUACCGCAUACGACCUACGGGUGAAAGCAGGGGAUCUUCGGACCUUGCGCGAUUGAAUGAGCCGAUGUCGGAUUAGCUAGUUGGCGGGGUAAAGGCCCACCAAGGCGACGAUCCGUAGCUGGUCUGAGAGGAUGAUCAGCCACACUGGAACUGAGACACGGUCCAGACUCCUACGGGAGGCAGCAGUGGGGAAUAUUGGACAAUGGGCGCAAGCCUGAUCCAGCCAUACCGCGUGGGUGAAGAAGGCCUUCGGGUUGUAAAGCCCUUUUGUUGGGAAAGAAAUACAGCCGGCUAAUACCUGGUUGGGAUGACGGUACCCAAAGAAUAAGCACCGGCUAACUUCGUG